rnacentral:rRNA from 1 species
GACGGGGGGGGCAAGUGUUCUUCGGAAUGACUGGGCGUAAAGGGCACGUAGGCGGUGAAUCGGGUUGAAAGUGAAAGUCGCCAAAAAGUGGCGGAAUGCUCUCGAAACCAAUUCACUUGAGUGAGACAGAGGAGAGUGGAAUUUCGUGUGUAGGGGUGAAAUCCGUAAAUAUACGAAGGAACGCCAAAAGCGAAGGCAGCUCUCUGGGUCCCUACCGACGCUGGGGUGCGAAAGCUAGGGGAGCAAACGGG